rnacentral:rRNA from 1 species
AAAGGAAUAGACGGGUGCCCGCACAAGCGGUGGAGCAUGUGGUUUAAUUCGAGGCAACGCGAAGAACCUUACCAGGUCUUGACAUGCCACUAAAGGCCCUAGAAAUAGGGAGAUAGUUAUAGUGGACACAGGUGGUGCAUGGUUGUCGUCAGCUCGUGUCGUGAGAUGUCUGGUUAAGUCCUACAACGAGCGCAACCCUUGUCGAUAGUUACCAUCAUUUAGUUGGGUACUUUAUCGAGACAGCCAGCGUAAGCUGGAGGAAGGUGGGGAUGAGGUCAAAUCAUCAUGCCCUUUAUGACCUGGGCUACACACGUGCUACAAUGGUCGGUACAAAAAGAUGCAAUAUAGUGAUAUGGAGCAAAUCUUCUAAAGCCGAUCUCAGUUCGGAUUGGAAUCUGCAACUCGAUUCCAUGAAGUCGGAAUCGCUAGUAAUCGCGAAUCAGAACGUCGCGGUGAAUACGUUCUCGGGCAUUGUACACACCGCCCGU